rnacentral:rRNA from 1 species
UACGGAGGGUGCGAGCGUUGUCCGGAAUCACUGGGCGUAAAGGGCGCGUAGGCGGCGCGAGCAGUCGGCGGUGAAAGCCCGGAGCUCAACUCCGGGUCGGCCGUCGAUACUCUCGUGCUUGAGCACUGUAGAGGCAGAUGGAAUUCCGGGUGUAGCGGUGGAAUGCGUAGAGAUCCGGAAGAACACCGGUGGCGAAGGCGGGAUCCUGGGCCAGUACUGACGCUGAGGAGCGAAAGCGUGGGGAGCAAACAGG